rnacentral:lncRNA from 1 species
UCUCUCCUCCCUCAAAAGUACCACCAUCUUUUCCGACAUGGCUACUUCUUCAAUCUUCAUGGCAACUCCCAUCACACUCCUCAAGAAAACUCCCACCUUCUCCGUCAAAUGUAUGUCACAAACACCUCAAAGCGGUGAACCGGAGGUUUCAAAACCAGCAACCACCCCAACACUACCACAGAUCAACAUUCCUCCUCCUCCGCCACCUGCUCCAAAGGUCAGCACGAAGUUCUCUGACGUGUUGGCGUUUAGUGGACCUGCACCGGAGAGGAUCAACGGAAGGUUAGCCAUGAUAGGGUUUGUGUCGGCGAUGGCUGUGGAACUGAGCAGCGGUCAAGACGUGUUCACCCAGAUCGGCAACGGCGGUGUUGCGGUGUUUGUCGGGACAAGUGUGGUGUUGACGUUGGCGUCGUUGGUGCCGUUGUUUAAAGGAGUGAGCGUGCAGUCGAAGUCGAGUGGACUGAUGACAUCAGAUGCAGAGCUUUGGAAUGGGCGGGUUGCGAUGUUGGGUCUGGUGGCUUUGGCUUUUACUGAAUAUGUUAAAGGCAGUGCCCUUGUCUAGAUAAUGUAGCAUAAACUUUUCUAUUACAGAAUUACAUCUAAGAUAGGCAAAUGUAUAUUCUUUUGAAUAUUUAUGUGUAUCGAUUUACCAUACAUAGUUCAAAUCAUGAAAAUCAUGUUUUUUUGAUAAUAUAGUAUAAAACAAAUAUGAUCAAUCAAAUCGAACGAUUGUGGUAUCUUUCAAUAUAAAAUUCUUUUUACAAAAAUAAACAAACAACAUACUAAGAUAAUUUUUUGAGGAAUGAACCUAGAUUAGCAAUAUAAGAGUCAAAGUCUACAAAGAUAUUGACAUCCUAGUUUCACAACUUCCUCUUUGAAUGUUGAAGGUGAUCAUUAAUUCAGACUGAAUAUGUGGCUAAGUCCAGCCUAGUCAAUUAGCCAAUUUAAGUUGACAAGUAUCCAAAAUUCAAAUAAACUACAUGGCUCAAUUUCAAAGAAAACUGAAAAAUGACUAAUGCUCACAAAAUGAUCACCGAAUCAAUUUAGGCUAUGAGGAGUGGUCACAUUCAAACCACCGGAAAAACGCUGCAAAGUCAGUGAUAUGUCAACUCCAUCACCUUCUAAACAUUGGAAACAAUUACCACUCCGUGUCAUUUAUAUUUUCAUUUUUUUUACAUUAGAUUAAAUAAAAAACAUAAUUACUAACUUAAGUAAUCAUUUUACUAAUUAAAAAAUCAACUAAACAUAUAUUAAUUUUCAAAAUUAAAUAAACAUAUAUAGUAUAUAUAGUUGAGGGUUUAACUUAAUUCAAAGAAAAGUAAGAGGGUAUAAUAAGAUUAAAAGACAUAAUUUUAGAGACCAAAUUUGUAACUUUAGUUAAAGCAAAUAUGAAUGGUCUUCUUCACAGGUCAUUGCUCAAUACCAUUUUUUUUCUUUUACUUCGAUGGAUACAAAGGAAAAGGGAAAAAAAGGGUCAAAUAAAUGACCGUUAUUGUUCUUGCUUUCUUAUCCGUCGUCUUCAUCCGUCUUUGCACCCACAUUACACCCAAACCACCGGCCUUAGGGGUGGUGGUGUUCACGUGUCCUUAGGCCGGACACAUCAGCAAGAUGUGUGAGUUAGUCCUCCCACUCCGAUUAGCCUUAAGCACUUAUUAAAAGCUAGUCUAUUUCUUGUUAGGUUGAAAUCUAAUGUUAUCAUCAAAUCUAUACAAGAUUGAGAUUGAUAUUAUAGUAACAAUCUCCCAAAGAAAAAUAAUAUAUUUAAAAGAAUAUAUAUAUANNNNNNNNUAUAUAUAUAUAUGAAUUAUGCCCCAAGAAGUACUAUGCAUGAGUAUAAGAUUACUAUUAUCUUUGGAUCCAUUAAUUGAUAACUAAGCAUACUUCAAAGUUACUAUAUGGUCGUAUGAGACCCGCGAAUAGGAAAUUGGCUGCACCCUUGGCCCGAUUCGAAGGCUAAAACCCAAAAGAACCAUGCACAUGAUUCGAACCAAGUGCUCUAAUGCUAUUUUGCCCAACUUACAUGAACUACCUCCAUACACAUACUUAAGAAACCCAUAAUCUCAUCCAGAUAGAGCAGGAAUGCCAGAGAUAAUCGGAAUAAUACCUCAAUCAAUUACAAAAAACAUCCGCAUUAUCGGUUGAAACAAGAUCCCAUACUUGAUUGAGACUGAACGGAUUCCAUCGCUACACAACUAGCUCGAGAAGACUUCCACGGAUCUCGAAAGUUGCCUAAACCUGAGUCUGCUAUGAAAUAGGUUCCCACUCCACCAUUGAGGGUAAACACACUUGAAGCCCCAAUGGACAUAGAUCAUACUAAGCUUGAUAACAGAUCAGCCUGACCACUACAUCUCGACUGACACAAUUAAACUUCCAAGUGAACUUUUAUUGAUUGAUGAACCCCACAACCAGUGGUCGAGGACACUUUAACACUUAGUCCAGAGAAUCAAGACCACAUAGAACUGAACAUACCCACUCAUGGAAAGAUCCAUCGACCAACGUCUGCCCAACUAAUAUGAAAAUAGUAAUCCAACAACAAACUGGGAAAUCCCUCAACAGCUAAAAAUACUCAACCUGAGAAUCCCGAUUCUCCUCCACUUAGGGCUUAAACUACCAUUCACUAGCGCUAAAACCAAAUCAUAAAUCAAACCAUAUUGAGGAUAUACUCCCUUCCUAACCCUGGAAGUUACGAGCCUCUUCACUCCUUCCCCGAACUCGGAAAAAAUGAAAGGGCAUAACCCUAGCCAUUGAUAAUGACGUUCCAAACCAACAAUCAACCACUUCCAACUGUAAAACCCAAGUCAAUCUUAAUCAUCGUCCCCUUCACGAGUCCCGCGACUCGAAUACCCGACCUCAAGCAAAACCCCCGAGGCCUCAAACAAAAAAGCUCCCUAGGUCUGCACCAAACAAACAAAAUCACUAACGCCACUGGGGCUCAAAACACUUACCAUAUCCAUCCGCAUGUCGGAGCAUCCACAAGCAAAAUAUUAACAGGAACAUAAACACUGCCGCGAAUCAUGGUAUCCAACCAUGCUAUCUUCACCGACCAACCCUUAGAAUCCCCAAAACCUUCCUUGAUUAGAUUAUGGAUCCUGUGCUUCAAGUAGUACUGGCCCAAUACUACCUUCCAUACCUAUCCAUACUUUCCUCAAGAAUCAUCCCAAGUCUUUUAAGUCCUAGUCAUAAAAUACUCCUGAAACUUGCUUAACAAUGAAGCAACCACGCUAAAAUACUCACCUACACUCCCUCUGCCAUCAACUGCUGAUAAACCCCUACCAAUGCCAGCUAACCACUUCAUGAAUACAAUUACACACAACCAAGCUUAAAUAAUCCUUCGAAUAAAGGGCUUAGCCCUACAACGAUUGGACUCAAACGAGAGCUGCACAAUAGGUUUGAGUCCUUCAUUCUAAGAUUAUUUAACCUUCAUAGCAUGUAAUUUUAUUAUAUUCACUUGAUGGUUAACUCCCAUCAACAUGGGUCCCACAAAGCACAAAGCAAGCAACAUUCGGGUAGAGAAGCCGACUGCGACUAAAACGCAACAAAAUCAGACAUAUCCUCAUAGAAAAUCCUCGAUCUCAAACUCCUCGCACCACGAGUGCGCCUUCACCCUGCUCUCACUCUCCCCAGAGUGGUUAAUCAUUCCUCGUGCUUACCCGCUAUACACUGCACCCACUCAUGAAACUUCCACCAACCCUACAACACUCGUGUAUGCUAGCCGUACAUAACACUGGAUCCUAUAGACAGUCGAAUAUCUGAUCCUACUCUAAGCCCUUCAUCAAACAAGAACAUGAAAUAAGGCCAAACCAAACAUUCUCAGGCUAUAGAAUCUUAGUUAUGUACAACUAUGAUGUAUACACUAAGUAACUGUAGUAGAUGAUGUCAAUUUCAUUUAAGGAAGAACCCUAGGCUAUCAGACAUCAUAUAAUCAUGCAACUUUGUCAUGCAAUUCCUGAAGAUCCCUAGCCUAUCACUACCAUGCUAUUCUAAUAUUUCACAAGAUCAAAUAAAGUGUGGUAAUUUGGGGUCUACUUACUAGCUCCGACUGAUCAUACACAUCGUAUCCUCUUUAGUUUGAAAGUUAUUUUUAAAACCUUUACUUUGAAAAUUACUUUUUUUAAAACACCUUUUCCUUAGUUUGAGACCGGAUUCACACGAGUUUUCCUCCCAUUCACUCAAACCAAGGCUCUGAUACCAACUAGUAACGUCACAAAAAUUUCAACAAAUCUAAACCUUUCAAAACAACCCAUAUGUUAACAAAAGUGAUUUGAUCCGCAGGCACUCUGCACGCCUUGAACUCCCGUAAUGAGGGAGUUCGAGCCCCAAUCUGACCCACAGUGAUCUCAGAUCGGAAAGAACAAUCCGCUCCUCCAUAUCCUCCAUGAUCCCCUCCUUGACGGUACUGAACCCGAUCUCGAACCUGAACCUCCUCGCGUAGCCAUCAUAAUCUUCAACUGAAAAUACAACAUAGAAAGAAAUUGAUAAGGAAGUUCAAAGGGAUUUCUCCCCACUGGACUCCUUAAAGCCUUCAGGUAUGUCCUUGUCUCGGGUACAAGUCUUGUGCUUUUAGUAGUACGGACCAAAUACUACCUUCCACACCUACCUGUACAUUCCCCCAAGGCCAUACCUGAUACCUCCAAUUCACCAAACCAUAGAUAAAACAUGACCUACGAAACACAGCACAUACACAUAUCUUAGAAUCUUCGGGGAUUUCUCAAUCCUCAUAGAACCAGAAACCUCAAUCAACACCGCAUGUUGCCUUAUGCAUGCAAGUUAUACAUUAAUAGAAUCAUAGAGACUGUCAAAUAAAGUUUCUACCCUAAGACCACAACCAAACAAGGAACAAGAAGUAAGGCAGAAUCCAUCGUUCUAGGGCUAUAAAAUCCUAAACAUAUACAACUUUGAAAGCAUACACUUAGCAAAUAACAACGUCAACAUCGAUUCCAAGCAUUAUAUUCAUAGCAUUGAACUCUCCUAGGCUACAAGGCAUCUCACAAAUCAGACAAUUCUCAUAACACCUAAAGGUAUCCUUAGCCCUAUUCUAGCAUGCAUUUCACACAUUAACAUACUAGUUGCAAUUCAUAAGCAUGGUUAAAUUUUUGGAAACACUUACUUGAGCUUGGCUGAUUUCGCGCAUUGCGCUCUCCCUUUUUACUUAAGAAAACCGGUUUAAGAAAAACUUGACUUUUGUUUCUUUUUUUAAAAAGGUUUACCAUUUCCUCAGUUUGAGUUGUGACACAUAGUGUGCCCGAAUUCCUCAAACCAAGGCUAUGAUACCAACUUGUAAAAGCCCAAAAAUCCAGAUAAAAAUUUUCAUUUAAAAAAAAAUAGAAAUUACAAUCAUAAUUUGUUUCUUAAAAUCCAUUACAUCAUUUCAUAUCAAAAUAUCAGAGUAUCAAUAUCAAUAAAUGAGGAAAUUCUUGGGAGUGAAUGUUGCGCCAUCUAGCUAGGCCCUUCCCCUUAGUACCGAAAGUACCUGAAAACACCUAAAUAAACUGUAAGCAAAAACUUAGCGAGUUCCCAAAAUACAACAUAACAUAUAACCACAGAAUACCACGCCACAUACAUAAGAUUGCCAUGGACAACCCCAUGGUCUUUACUUGGAAUGCCAUGGGCUACCCCAUGGUAUUUACCUAGAAUGCCAUGGGAUACCCCCAAGGUCGGAUAUCCAAGUGCCAUGUGCUACCCCAUUGGUCUUUACCUGGAAUGCCAUGGGCUACCCCCAUGCUCUAAUAUCCAAGUGUCGUGCGCUACCCCCAUGGUCUUCAUAUAAGUGCCACAGGCUACCCCCGUGGUCUUCACAUAAUGAAUUGCAUAAAAACUAUCAAUCCACAUGUCAGGCAAUGGGCCGCCAUUGGUGCCUUCGACCCAUUGAUAUAGUGAGAAGACUCACCUCAGACUGCUGAUAAAAAUACUGCUCGGCUAACGCUCUAGAUAUCUGACACUGAAUAUACACAAGUUAACCUAAUUAGAAUUAAGUCACAAACUCAAGGCCUAGGCCAAAACCCUAAGUACAAACUCCUCCAAUAAGGCCCAAAGUCUUUUUCCUUUAAUGGGCCUAACAUCCAAGAUCCAAAAAGGGGCAUAAGGCCCAAAAGGCCUAGCCAUGCCACUUAUGGUCCAACAACAAGUUCAAAGGCCCAAAUACUAUAAUAGAUCCAGGCCCAAGUCUAAGUAGAGCCCAAAUAGCUUAAAGGCCCAACAAAAGCCCAAAACUCAUUGGAAGCGUACGCCCAACGUACAUCAUCAGUACGCUUAGCAUACUGGGUUCUUUGGCGGUUAGCGUAGUGUACAAGCUAGUAUGCCCAACGUACAAGCUACUUUGCACAAAAAGCCAUUAAGUGCUUAAUUCAUGAAGCCAUUUCGUCCGAUUCCAGAUCUUGGUCAUCUUAAAGGUCCUAGGGCAUAAAGAUGGUAACUUUAUGUGUUUACAUGCCAUAUGGGAACCCAACACCUGAUUUUAUCCAUUAAGACUCCCUUUAAGAUCUUAAACUCAUGCAUGGUGCCAUAACAACCAUCAAGUUAGCAUUUUUAUGCUUUUAACAUGCCAAAGGAACUAGGAUCUAACAUUUAUAAUCUCUGGAGUUGUUCAAACUUACAAAAGAGGAUCCAUGGACCAAAAAUGGACUUAUUACCAAACCCUAACUCAAACUAGCGAAAGGAUAAGCAAGUUCUGGACUUUUUACCUCCAAAAGUUUUCCAAGAUGAAGUAGAUGCAGGAUCUAGAAGCUCAAACACGUCUAAGAGUUGAUCACAACCUUCUCCUUCUUACACACACAUUAAAAUAGCCACCAAAAUCACUUUUAAGCUCAAGAAUCACACUCACUUGCAAACUAGGGUUUAGGGACGAUAAGAGGCAAUAAAAGCUAUGUAGGGUUAGGUCCAAAUGUCAUAAGAGUGUUAAAAUAGGGUUCAUGCGCAAAAAUUAGGGUUUUUGUCAUAUGCCACGUACUCCUCGCAUACAUGGUGCAUGUACGCAUCUAAACCACCCUAGUACGCUAAGCGUACACGUAUGUACGCCCUGUUGGAUUAGUGUUUAAGUCCAUAACUAUAUUUGGUAUGUAUUUGACCAGGUUGUGCAUGGUCCUUUUAGGUUGCCUUCACCGAAGCAACUUGACUAGAGGAAUUAUAUAGAAAGAGGUGAUUAUGGUUUAUUAAUAUAUUAUAAGAUUUAUAUAUUAAAAGAGAAAUCAUGUUUGAUUAAUUAACAUUGGUCAAGAGUUAAUUAAACAUUAGUUUUGUGAUCAAAAGAAGUUAAUUGAACUUAAGGGGCUGAACUGUAAUUAUGUGAUAGUUACAAAGUUAGGCAAGGAAACCCUAAUGGAUAGGGUGGAUGAAUUCUAGGGAUAUAGCCUUAAGAAUUCGCCCAUGAUAGGGAUUCUAGAAUUAUCUUAUGGGCUGCUUGGUGGCUAAGUAACCAUAUAAGAAUAAUGAAUGAAACCCUAAUUCCUAAACCUAUAUAAAGGACCCUUGGUCAUGGGAAUUUCGGCAACUUGAACCCUAGAAGUCCUAGAGCCGAAAUUCUCCUCUUCCCUCUCUUGCUUCCUCUAAUUGCUAUUGGUGUUUGUUAUUAAUUAGAGGCACAACACUUGAGGUGCUAAAGUUGUCAAGGCUUCAAGAUCUUCAAUCAACAACGAGGUAAGCAUCUUGAUAUACUUUGCUAAGUUAAUUUCAAUUAUAUACACUAGAUCUAGGGUUUGAAAGUCUUGGAUGAAUGCACGUACAAUUAGAGAAACCUAGAUCCAAGCAUUAGGGUUUGCAUGAGCACAUAGGAUGUUCUUUUGGCUCAAACCUAUCAGUGGUAUCAGAGCUUUUGUUUGGUUUCUAUUGUAUUGAUGCCUUGCUUGUUCAUCCUCUCUUGAAAAUCGUGAUUUUGUGUUCUCUGCCUGACGAACUCGAUGAGUCCCAAUGUGGGCUCGACGAGUAGGAUGAACUCGACGAGUCCAUAAGGGCACUCAACGAGUCGGAGCGUCAGACAUAGAUUUUCGGGAUUUCUUGUUGUUUUGCUUAAUGAUAAUUACCUAAAUCGUUUUUGACUAAUAAAAUCUGAAUUUUAUUACUGCUUUAUGUUUAUCCUUUCCAAAACAAAAGAUAAUUUCCAUUUAUUUGAAUAAUAAAUUCCUUAUAUGAUAAUAAUUGAUUAUUUAAAUUAUUUGUUGAAUUAUCUUAUGAAUAAAAUUGAUUAGGUCAAAUUUAGAUAAUCAUUAAAUUAAUUGUUUAAUUUAAAUUAUUUGCUAUUUGAUCCUUUAUGUUUUGAAAAGUUCAAAACUUGUCCUCAAGUUUUGAAAUUUAAAUUUGUGAUUAAAAGUUUAAUUUAAACUAUUUAAAUUUCAAACCCUAGAAUUUUACAAGUUUAAAAUUCAACCUUAUACUUUACAAUANUUAAACGCUAGUCUUACUGUUAGUAGGCCUCAUUCACGAAGCCGAUCUAGAAGGAGGUAUAAGGUUAUGACCUAUAAAAUGGCCAUUUAAUGGGUGUCCACUCUCACCCACCACAUCCUUGAUUGGUGGAGGGUCGUUAGCCGAACGGGUAAGAUAGGGCAACCCUUUCUCAUGAAUAAGUAUAAUGAAUUAUAAAAGUAACUAAAUGUUUUACAAAAUUCCCAAUCUUAAUUACUUUAGGCAAAAGUGAAAUUGAUGCAAUUCCAUUAAAUUACAUUUUGUACCCGUGCUAAGACGUUAGUGGAGCGUGUGUGGUUAACUGGCACACUAAUUCGGUUCUAAGAAAAGGUGGUAAAGGGUGACUCAUUGUUUCUCAUUGUUCGAUGGAGCAUGUGUGGUUAACCAGCACAUCGAAUAGGUGACUGUAACAAUGAGGGCACCAUGUAUAUUUGCAUGGUUAUUCAUACCCACUUUGUGAUCCUCAGCAUCCCAGUCACAAACUAGAGGGGCAUAUCAAGAUUUAUACAUGCCAUUGAAAAGUUCAAUGAAUCUCAAAAUAUCUAGGAGUUUUCAAUACAUUUAAAACUUAAUCUCUUUUUCGUUUUUCAUGGUGGAGAAUUAGUGAAUCGUCAUUCACUUACCUUCAAAUUAUUUGCAUGUUAGAUUACGACACCCCUCUUCUAAUAUGUAAAUAAUGUUGUUGGAUCCUAGCCCUAAUUUCUCAUUUAGGUGUUUCAUUAGGGAUUCAUUUCUAAUCAAACUUUGUUCUUUUUCCUUUUCAGAUGUCGAACAACAACAAUGCUUCCGGAUCGUUCUCACUCAUGAACUUGUGUGGGAGAGUGAUCUUUGACGAGUCCAAUUUCAAUGAUUGGAUUCGCAACAUCCGAAUGGUCACUCGUUACGAGGACAAAGAGUAUGUCCUUGAUAAGAAGCUGAAGGAAAUCAACCUCAACACUGCUACUACUGAAGAGAUCGCCACCUUUAAGGCUCAUGAGCGUGAUGCCACGAAAGUCCAUUGCAUCAUGCUAGCGACCAUAACUGCAGAACUCCAAAAGUCCUAUGAGGACAUGUAUCCCUAUGAAAUUCAUCAAAACUUGUUGGACCGGUACCACCAAAGUGCAAGGCAAGAAAGGUAUGAGAUCAUCACUUCGAUGAUCACUACCAGAAUGGGUAAUGGAGAGUCCCUUACCGCCCAUCUGCAAAAGAUGCAGAGAUAUGUUGAUCACCUGCUAAAGUUGAAAGUUAACUUUGAUGAAGAGAUGGCAAUCGACAUUAUCCUUCACUCCUUACCUCCCUGCUACAACCAGUUCCGCAUGACUACCACAUGAAUAAGGAAGAGGUCACCUUGAGCAAGCUUCACGGCUUGCUAAGAACUGUUGAGAGCAAUUUCAAGGAUAAGUAUGUUGCAUCAACUCCAACUCCCACUGCUGCCCUUGUCUUGGAAAAAGGGCAAGGGAAGGGUAAGAAAAGGAAGGCUCCCUCAAAUAUCCACCACAAGGGAAAGUCCCAAGAUGUUACCUCUUCUAGUGGAACCAAGGCUGGUUCUGCUAAACCCAACUCUAACCCUAAUGAGCCAGAGUGCCACCACUGCCACAAAAUAGGGCAUUGGAAGAGAAGCCGCCCAGAAUAUCUGCAAGCUAUCUAGGAUGGGACGAUCAAGCCAUCCUUCGCAGGUAUUUACACUAUUAAAUCUAAUGAUUCAUCGCAUGCUAUUUCUUGGGUUAUUGAUACAGGAUGUGGUUUUCACAUAUGUUCUGAUUUGCAGGGACUAAGAAGAAAUAGGGAUGUGGAGCAUGGAAGAAUAAACCUAAUAAUGCGAAACAAAAGAUUGUCGCCUGCCACCAAUAUUGGAGUAUAUAUAUUCCUUAAUGCUUAGUAAUGGAUUAGGUUUUGAUUUAAACAAUUGCUGCUAUUCGCCAGAUAUGGCAAGAAACAUCAUUUCAUUUCAUGGUUUAUAUAGGCAAGGAUUUAGAUAUUCAUUUGAUAAUGAAAAGGGUUCUAUUUAUGCUUAUCUUAAUAGUGUUUUAUAUUUUGAAGCAUUGCCUUGUAAUGUAAUAUAUGAAACUGUGAUGGUUGUAGAUAACUUAGGAAAUGAUGUAUUGUGUGUUGAUUCUUCCAACAAUAUAGAUAAAGCAUGCUUGUGGCAUUGUCGUCUUGGACAUGUCAACAAGAAACGCAUAGCCCAACUCUAAAAGGAUGGAGUGUUGGAGUCAUUCGACCUUAGGGAUGAUGACGUGUGUGAGUCUUGUUUACUUGGAAAGAUGACCGAUGUGUGUGGGCACUUGUGAAAGGGGUGAGGGUUUAUUGGAUCUCAUACACACCGAUGUGUGUGGGCCCUUUAGAUUACCACAAAAGAUGCAAGCCACUUCUAUGUGACUUUUACCGAUGAUUAUAACAGAUAUGGGUAUAUCUACUUAAUCAAGCACAAGUCGGUAACCUUUGAAAGGUUCAAAGUGUUUAAAGAAGAAGUGGAGAAUCAUUUGGGCAGGAAUAUCAAGAUGCUUCGAUCCGAUCGAGGAGGAGAGUACCUAAGUCUUGAAUUCCAUGACUAUCUCAAGGAAUGCGGAAUCGUUUCACAAUUGACGUCACCUAGGACACCGCAGUUAAAUGGUGUGGCUGAGAGGCGUAAUCGAACCUUGUUGGACAUGGUUCAUUCCAUGAUGAUUCGUGCUUCACUACCUAUCUCAUUCUGGGGGUAUGCCUUAGAGACUGCCGCCCAUAUCCUUAACUUAUUCCCUACGAAGAAGGUUGCCAAAACACCUCACGAGAUGUAGACAGGGAAAGCUUCCUCGUUAGCACAUAUCAAGGUUUGGGGGUUGCGAGGCUUUCGUAAGACGAGAGACUCACGACAAGCUCGAACCUCGUAGUGAGUGGUGUAUUUUCACCAGCUACCCACAAAAGACCUUUGGAUAUCUCUUCUAUAGUCCGAGUGAGAACGUUGCCUUCAUUGCGAGGAGAGGGGUUUUCCGUGAGCGAGAACUCAUAAGCCUAGGGGACAGUAGGAGGCAAAUCGAUCUUGAAGAGAUUCAAGAGUUGAGCGAUGAAGGAACCUCCAACACCGGGGCUUACCCGAGGAGGAAACUCCGGUUGAACCGAUUGACGAGUCCUUACCUCUUAGACGUUCCGAAAGAGUUAGGUUUCAACCCCAGUUAUAUGGCUUUCAUAUUACUACAGAAGGGGAUACGUAUAUUAGUGAUAUUAUACUAAUAAAUUUGGAUGAACUUAACAGCUAUAAGGAAGCCAUUGCAGGCCCAGAGUCUGCAAAGUGGAAAGAGGCGACGGACAGUGAGAUUCUGUCCAAGUAUGACAACCAAGUUUGGAAUUUGGUUGACAAUGUACUAGGUCGUAAGAUGGUCUGGUGCAAAAUGAUCUUUAGGAAGAAGGUACUAAAACGUUUUGUGACAACCCGAAAUUUCCAUUUUGUACGAACAUUAGCUAUUCAAUAGAAGCUAGUCCAAUUUCAAUGAAUUUCAGACUUUUCUAAAUAAAUUUGUGUACAUUAGGGUUUACGUUUAAGGAGAUAUCAGGAGAGUGGAUGCUCAUGGGUUUGUGAAACUUGAGCAUUUCAAAACUUCAUAAUGUUAGAGUCCAAUUCCGGAAUAAAAAUAUUUUCUGCCAAAAUAUUUCAGGACUAUAAAUAGAUUUCUGAACUAAAUUCAUUCAUUAUUCACACUUCCAACUAGAGAAAAGCCAUUUUCUCUCUCACAGAUCUUCGGGUUUUCAUCCCAAAUCGUGAGUACACUUCUUUAGUUGUUUUAUAAUGCUUGUUAUAUGCUUAAUAACAUAGAUUACAUGUCAAAUAUGUGAGAUCCGGGAGUUUACCGCCCAAGAACGUUCUUGGGGAGUAAACUCGAAAAUAAAGCUUUAAGGCUAUCUAGUCCCAUUUCCUUGUUAGGUAACUAGCUUAGGAUAAUAUGUAGGAUCAUUUGAGACAAGAAAACAAUCCAGAACACAUAGCUUUAGGAGUUUUCGGCCCAAGAGUUUCUUGGACCGUAAACACCAAAUACAAGGGCUUAAAUGUGCCCUAAUCACUCCCAAAGGCUUUAGACUUUAACCCUAAAUUACUUCUAGCUAAUAUGGGGACAUUAACACAUCAAAAAAACCCCUAAAAGGGAGUUUACGGCCAAGAAAUGCUCUUGGGCCGUAAACACCAAUUAAGGGCACCAAAGUGUGCCUAGGGCCCCCCUUAGCAUAAAUCAAAUGCCUCGAAAGUAUUCUACUUGUGUUUGAGACUUGAAAGAAUUAAAACAUCCAUCCCAUGAGAGUUUACGGCCGUAAACUCUAAGGGAUAUGGCCUUUUGGCCGUAAACUCCUCAAAGGAGUGUUAUCUAUGCCCUAAACUACCCAAAGGAUUAAACCACCAAACUAGGCUUAUUCUAGAAAUCAUUUAGCACUUUAAAACACCCAUUACCACCAAGAUUGGAGUUCACGGCCGUAAACUCAAGGUUUUACGACCGUAAACUCCUUGUGUGGGGUUUAUUGGGUAGUAAACUCUUAUACAAAGUCCUUGGAAGCUUUAAACCCCUUUAGCUUGUCCCAUAACAACUUAGAUGCAACCAUUAGGACCUAUAACACUUAUACAAGGUGUUUACAUGUUCCUAAGUGUCCCAACUUAUUUCAUUAAGUUAUUAUUUGGCUAAUUAGUUAUAUAUAUGCUCAUUAUAUGAUAACUAGGCUCGUGCGUGUGAACAAGUCUCCGUUUGCCACCUAGCACGGUAUCCGACACUACAAUCCAAACCACUCACCACAAGUGAGUUCAUACCCCUUUAAUUAACCUUUGAAAUACUUUUAAAUGUUUUAAAUACUUUAUGGGGGGGAUACAAGUUAAAUGCUUAUAGUUAUUGCAUCAAUCACAUGUGAUUACAUUAAUCAUAUGUGAUUAAUAACUAGAAAACCAAUGAUCUUAUCACUGUUUAAACUGUUUAUCAAACUGUUUUACUUCAAACUGUUUUACAAACUCUUUUACUCAUCAAAUACUUUUAUUUAAACUUUGUUAUACUUCUUAUAAACCGCAUGCCCAUAUAUGUAUAGAUAUAUAAGCAAUGUUUAAAGGGUUUAGGAAGGUCAUCCGCCCUAUUUCCUUUUUCUCGAUUUGGAUGUGGUCUGGUGGGAUUUCGGGUAACCAUCCGAAGGUCGUUUCAAUAUUAAUUAUAUAUCAAAUGUACAUAUAUAGACAUAAAAGUACUCCUUNUAUACUAGGAGAAGAACAUAUACAACUAUACUAGAGGAAGAACAUAUACAACUAUACUAGAGGAAGAACAUAUACAACUAUACUAGAGGAAGAACAUAUACAACUAUACUAGAAAGAGAACAUAUACAACUAUACUAGAGGAAGAACAUAUACAACUAUACUAGAACAGUUCAUUACAUUACACAUACUAGAAUACGUUCAUUAUUGUGAUAUGAAUCGGGGCAUGACUUAAAUGCCAUGGCCCGAGUUGUAGCCAGAGUCUCUUGAAGGGAGAGCGUGAGUUUGCGUAUAGAUCUAUACUGGAUUGACUAUCCUACACCUUGCUGCUAGCUACAGCCGGACCUGCAGGUCUGCGGGUGCCAAACGUCAUUCCGUUAUUACGACCAUUCGUAUGUCGUUGUUACCAGUCGAUAGUAUGGUGCAAUUAGUCACAUGAUACCUUAAUAUAAAUCCGGUUUAAGGUAGUUAGUACAACAAUAGUUCCUAUAAUACAACACUACAGUACUACAAUAAUUUACCCAUUACAUAUAUUUAGUGAUUAUUUCACUUAAACAUUAAUGUACAAACUAUAUUUUGUUAAAUGAUAGUUACACUUGGGAAAUUACACACUUUUACAACAAACGAGCAUACAAAACAGUUAAGCCUUGGUAGAAGGCUACUUUAAUAGAAAAUAUAGGUUUUUCUGAGAGAUUCAAACUUUUACAAACACUUACAUACAUUUUACAAACUUACACUUGAGACACGUUCAAACGUUUUGAUAACAAACAUCGACACUAAAAUACUUAUGAACUCACCAGCUUAAUGCUGAUAAACUCUUUCAAAAUAACUUGUAUUCUCAGGUCAUCAAUAGACAGGUACUUAGGCCAGCUUUUGAGAAGAUGGAGCGCAUUCAAGACUCAUCUUAUUAUUUUGAUUUACAUUAUAUUUUGGUGUCUAAAACUGUACAGAACACGCUUGUAUUAAAAUUAUAUAUUUAAUGCAAUGGAUGAUGCUGUUUGCUUAUUUACAUUUACUGUGUUGUGAUACUUUACAUGACGUCCUCCGCCCCACAACGUUUCCGCCGUUCUUGGUUUUGGGGUGCGACACGUUUUAGUAUGGAGAAUUCAAAGAAGGCAGAGUUACCAAUCCAAAGUAAUGCGAAGUUGAGUACGACUCAAAGUCCGAGUACUGAAGUCGAGAUAGCAGAAAUGAGCUAAGUACCUUACGCUUCCGCAGUUGGCUCGAUCAUGUACGCUAUGACUUGUACUCGCCCUGAUGUGGCCUUCGCUUUGAGCAUGGUCAUUAGAUAUCUAGGGAACCCUAGAAAAGCACAUUGGACCGCAAUCAAGAAUAUUCUUAAGUACCAUCGAAGGACCAAGGAAUGGUUUCUAGUCCUCGGUGGGAGUGAUGACUUAAAGGUGCGAGGGUAUAGUGACGCCAGUUUUCAGACCGACAGGGACAACUACCGUUCGCAGUCGGGCUGGGUCUUUACCCUAAAUGGUGGAGCAGUGACUUGGAAAAGUUCCAAGCAAGAGACCGUAGCUGACUCAACAUGUGAAUCAUAGUACAUUGAAGCAAGCGAAGCGUCAAAUGAGGCAAUAUGGUUGAAGAACUUCAUUGGAGACCUUGGAGUUGUGCCGACCAUACAGGAGCCUAUUGAGAUUUUCUGUGAUAAUGAAGGAGCGGUUGCCUUGACCAAGGAACUGAGGGAUCACGGCAGAUCUCAACAUAUUGACAGAAAAUAUCACUUUAUUCGAUAUCAGAUGGAAAAAGGACUCCUCGUAGUGAAGUGCGUAUCGUCAGAAGAUAACCCAUCAGAUCUGCUUACGAAGGGACUGAGCAGGGUUAAGCACUUGCAGCAUGCUAGGAGCAUCGGGCUGAAGGACGAUAUUAGUUUAGAUUAGAUAGUUUGGAAACGUGUAAUAGAUAAAUUAUAAUUAACAUCUGAUGAUUAAAUAAAAGAGUAUUAUUUAUUAGUAAUGUUACUAUCUUAUGUUAAUUGUUUACCUAUUGUUUCAUUUUGCAUGUUUUGACUUCCUGAAUAAUAAGAAUUAUUUAAAUGGUCUACAGUUGUUCAUAUGUUGGAACUAGGUAUGAAUGAAGACUGUCAUGAAUUGGUGUGUAGAUUGUCUAAAGUGUAUUAGACAUAGCAAAAGUUUGCUACAACAUUCAUGAGUGCUUAUGAAAAGUUUUGAGCAUUGGAAUAAACCCAUGCUUGCUGGAAUCACUUCAUGGAAUUCAUCAUGAGUGAUCGCAAGACGAUAAUAUAUCAUAUGGUCUUAAAACAUAGAUAUAUGGUUUAUUGUUUUCUAAUUGGUUGUGCAUUGAUAAUGCGUAAACACAUCAGUAACUUGAUGUUAUAAAACGCAUUGUUGUGUAUGAUUUGAUUAGUGGAUAGUAAAUGCAUAUAAGUCUAAGUUCAUCUGUUCCUUUUAUCCUAAUAGGUUAAAAGUGAUAUCAGGACCCCUUGAUGAUUUGAUUUGACUUAUGUGUCGGGCCCGGUCAGGACUGAAUUGAUGUGUUCAAUUACGUUCUAUGUCAAAUGAAUCAGAGAUUAAGAAACAAACUGUUGGAUAAUAAGUAUGACUAUGUUCCAUGUAAUUGUCCGCAUGAUAUCUAGAACAAAGGAUUAUACGAUCCCUUAUCUUAAGGACAAGUUACUGAUAAGAUCAAGAGUUUUGAGAACUGUGAUUGCUAAUCGAAUCCAGAAGUUGCAUUUGCAUUUAUAGUUAUUAUCAAGGUUGUAAAAAAUUCUCGACGUUAGCUAGUCGGUGGACUGGGGUUAAGAGAUUAAUCGGGUAGGCGGAGAUUAAUCGGGGGAUUAAUGGAGACCAUUAAUUGAUAAUUUGUUGAAUUUUAAAAAAUUGAAUAUGACUAAUAUCAUAUCAAAGUCCGUAAGUACCACUAAUAUCAUAACAAAAUAGGUUGAUAUGUUUAAUACAACAUUAAUCAUGCUUGAAAUAGUUUCUAUUGAGAUAAAACUUCUUAAAAAUGUUUAAAUUUCAUCGUUUUAUACAGUUUUACUCAUUAUUUAUGCAUGGAUUAAUCGCUAGGUGCCAUCUAGUUGGUUGAGUAAUGCCUAGGGAUUAAUCGGAGAUUAAUCGGGACCUAGUCAUGAUUUUUACAAUAAUGGUUAUUAGACUUAUCCAAGUAGGGGAAUGUUGGAUUAGUGUCCAAGUCCAUAACUAUAUUUGGUAUGUAUUUGACCCAGUUAUGCAUGGUCCUUUUAGGUUGCCUUCACCAAAGCAACUUGAUUGGAGGAAUAAUAUAGAAAGAGGUGAUUAUGGUUUAUUAAUAUAUUAUAAGAUUUAUAUAUUAAAGGAGAAAUCAUGUUUGUUUAAUUAACGUUGGUCAAUAAUUAAUUAAACAUUAGUUUUGUGAUCAAAAGAAGUUAAUUGAACUUAAGGGGCUGAACUGUAAUUAUGUGAUAGUUACAAAGUUAGGCAAGGAAACCUUAAUGGAUAGGGUGGACAAAUUCUGGGGAUAAUGCCUUAAGAAUUCGUCCAUGAUAGGGAUUCUAGAAUUAUCUUAUAGGCUGCUUGGUGGCUAAGUAACCAGAUAAGGAUAAUGACUGAAACCCUAAUUCAUACACCUAUAUAAAGGACCAUUGGGCAUGGGAAUUUCGGCCACUUGAACCCUAGAAGUCCUAGAGCUGAAAUUCUCCUCUCCCCUCUCUCUCUUGCUUCCUCCAAUUGCUAUUGGUGUUUGUGAUUCAUUAGAGGCACAACACUUAAGGUGCUAAAGUUUUCAAGGCUUCAAGAUCUUCAAUCAACAACAAGGUAAACAUCUAGAUCUACUUUGCUAUGUUAAUUUCGAUUAUAUACACUAGAUCUAGGGUUUGAAAGUCUUGGAUGAAUGCAUGUACAAUUAGAGAAACCUAGAUCCAAGCAUUAGGGUUUGCAGGAGCACAUAGGGUGUUCUUUUGGCUCAAACCCAUCACGCCCAAUGUACGUAGGGACCUCCUUUACAAAUAAGUUUCAUUCCAAGGGUUAAAAGGGUAAAUACCUACAUUCCGAAUGUUACAUAUAGAUAGUAAAAUACUUGAUUCUACCCUAAGCCCUUCAUCAAACAAGAAAAUGAAAUAAAGCUAAACAAAAAUUCUCAAGCUAUACAAUCUUAGUUAUGUACAACUACGAUGCAUACACUAAGCAACUACAAUAAUGACGCUAAUUAUAUAUAAGAAGUAAUCCUAGGGUAUCAAGCAUCCUAUAUCAGGAAAUCCUUUCAUGUAAUUCCUGAAGAUCCCUAUCCUACCACUAGCAUGAUGUUAUAUCAUGAAAAACAUAUCAAGUAACCGUGUGGGUAACUUUGGGUAAAUUUUCUUGCUCUGGCUGAUCAUACACAUCGCAUCAUUCCUUGGUUACUUUUGAAAACAAUUUUUGAAAACCAUUAAAAGAAAACUUUACAGCUUCCUAGUUUGAGUUUGGAUUCACACGAAUGUUCAUCCAGUUCUCUCAAACCGAGGCUCUGUUACAAACUUGUAACACUCCAAAUAUCAUAGAAAAUUAAAAAUUUUAAAUUUCAACCAUUAACCAACAUUUUUUACAAAAAGAGUCAUUGCUUCAAAAGUAUUAUUCAAAAUCAUAGUUUUUCCUAAGACCUAAUAACACAAAAUAGGAAGAUGUGCACGAUCACGCCUUCUCCUUCCUACGAUCAUCCGAAGUACCUAAAACAAUAAACUGAAAUUGUAAGCCAAAGCUUAGUGAGUUCCUCCAAAGUACCAUCAUGGAACAUAUAAAAUACAUAGAUUAACAUGUUGGGUCCAUAACCUCCCAGUUGGAUUACCUUGGCUCACAACCUCCCUGUUGGAUUGCCCUGCAUACCACAUACUGGGUCCACUACCUACCGACUGGGUUGACUUAGAUGGUUUGUGGAGUUUGGCCUAUUUUGACCCAAGGAUAUUUUGGAUAAGUUGGUAGUUAUUUAAGUCGACCAAUAUUUUGGGAUAAUAGGUGUCGAGUAGAGCCGGUUGUCAGGGAAGAGAUUUAUUCAGCUUAUGUUCAGACUGAGAGGUGAGUUUUCCUCACUGUACUUACGGGUCGAAGGCACCAAGGCCGACCCAACGAAUUGAUAUCCUGUCUAUACUGAUUGAAGAUAUGUUGAGUAUGCGAUAGAUCUGAAUGAUUAUAUGAUAGUUAUGAUAUACGUUAGACUGGUAGAUCUAUAGGGCUACCUAUGAUUAUUGGUUGUAUAAUCAUCUGUAUGUUGUAUAUAUAUUAUAUGUUAUAUGCCGACAUGUUACAUUGGGGUUGAGACUACUGCUUUGUGUCGUCAGUCAACAGACCAUGUCAAUCCAAUUGGGAUGUUGUGGGCUAGGGUAAUUCAACCAGGAGGUUGUGGACACAAUAUGCUAAUCUGUGUAUUUUAUAUGUUGCAUGAUGGUACUUUGGUGGAACUCACUAAACUUUGUGUUAUAGUUUCAGUUUAUUUUCAGGUACUUCUGAUGAUCGCGGUACGAUGAAGGUGUGGUCAUGCACAUCUUCCUGUUUUGUGUUAUUGGGUCUUGGUGAAAACUCUGAAAGUCAUGACACACUUCAAAUUGAAGUAUUUCGAUGGUACAAUCAAAAUCUCUAUUGGAUAAAAUUUAGUGACAACAACAGAGAAUUAAAAGGUUACGAUUCUUGUGUGUACCAUAUUCAAAUACCCAAAAAGGGAUAUAACUCCUUGUUCGAAAUAAAGCUAAACCAAAAAUUCUCAAGCUAUAGAAUCUUAGUUAUGUACAACUAUGAUGCAUACACUAAGCAACUACAAUAAUGAUGCCAAUUCUAUAUAAGAAGUAAUCUUAGGGUAUCAAGCAUCAUAUAUCAAGAAAUUCUAUCAUGUAAUUCCUGAAGAUCCCUAGCCUACCACUAGCAUAUUGUUCUAUCGUGAAAAACAUAUCAAAUAAUAGUGUGGUUAACUUGGGGUAUACUUUCUUACUCCGGCUGAUCGUACACAUAUCAUCAUUCUUUGGUUACUUUUGAAAACCAUUAAAAAAACUUUUACAGCUCCCUAGUUUGAGUUUGGAUUCACACGAAUGUUCAUCCAAUUCGCUCAAACCAAGGCUCUAAUACCAACUUGUAACACUCCAAAUAUCAUAGAAAAUUAAAAAUUAAAAAUUUCAACCAUUAACCAACAUUGUUUACAAAAAGAGUCAUUGCUUCAAAAGUAUUAUUCAAAAUAAUAGUUUUUCCCAAGACCCAAUAAUACAAAGCAGGAAGAUGUGCACGAUCAUGCCUUCGCCUUCCCGCGAUCAUCAGAAGUACCUGAAACAAUAAACAGAAACUGUAAGCCGAAGCUUAGUGAGUUCCCCCAAAGUACCAUAAUGCAACAUUUAAAAUACAUAGAUUAACAAAAUGGGUCCACAACCUCCCAUUUGGAUUACCUUGGCCCACAACCUCCCCGUUGGAUUGCCUUGCAUACUACAUACUGGGUCCAUAACCUUCCGACUAGGUUGACUUGGCUAGUUUGUGGAGUUUGACCUAUUUUGACCAAAGGAUAUUUUGGAUAAUUUGGUAGUAAUUUAAGUCGGGCAAUAUUUUUGGAUAAUAGUUGUUGAGUAGAGUCGGUUUUCGGGGAAGAGAUUUAUUCAGCUUGUCUUCUUACUCAGAGGUGAGUUUUCCUCACUGUACUUAUAGGCCAAAGGCACCAAGGCCGACCCAAUGGAUUGAUAUCCUGUUAGGUACUGAUUGAUGAUUUGUUGAGUAUGCGAUAGAUCUGUAUGAUUAUAUGAUAGUUAUUGAUAUACGUUAGACAUGUAGAUCUAUAGGGCUACCUGUGAUUAUUGGUUGUAUAAUCAUAUGUCUAUUGUAUGUAUAUUAUAUGUUAUAUGUCAACAUGUUACGUUAGGGUUGAGACUACUACUUUGUGUCGUCAGUCAACAGACCAUGAGAAUCUAACCGGGAGGUUGUGAGCCAGAGUAACCCAGCCGGGAGGUUGUGGGCCCAACAUGCCAAUCUAGGUGUUUUAUAUGUUGCAUGAUGGUACUUUGGAGGAACUCACUAAGCUUUGGCUUACAAUUUCAGUUUAUCGUUUCAGGUACUUGUGAUGAUCGCAGGACGGUGAAGGUGUGAUCAUGCACAUCUUCCUGUUUUGUGUUAUUGAGACUUAGGAAAAACUCUGAUUGUGAAUAAUACUUUUGAAGCAAUGAAUCUUUUUGUAAACAAUGUUGGUUAAUGGUUGGAAUUUUUUUUUUUUUUUAAAUUUUUAUGAUUUUUGGAGUGUUACAUUGGUUUUGUCUUAUAACUGAUCCAAACCCCCACACACCCUUGUUAAUCAUCAAAGAAGAAUCCAAUUAGAACUAAUUCUAUUCAACAAUAACAACCAUAGGGUGUUAGAAAUCCAUUACCUCAAAUGUAGGGAUCUUUUGAUGUCUAAGAACAUUAAUCAAGAUAAAUUAAUAAGGAUAUUCAAUUAAACCAAAGGUCUUUUGGCCUAGCACUAUCAUAUGUUGGAAAAAUGACCCUUCCUAAUGUUAGAAAAACGGGUUAUUUCGAUUGCUUGGAUUCCACUGAAAGUCAUGAUACACUUUCAAAUUGAAGUAUUUCGGUGGUACAAUCAAAAUCUCAAUUGGAUAAAAUUUAGUGACAACAAUAGAGAAUGAAAAGGUUAUGAUUCUUGUGUGUACCAGAUUCAAAUGACCAAAAAGGGAUAUGACUCCUUGUCCGAAAACUGUCAUAUUAACAGUUACAAACUGCCACAAAGCUGUCACUAAACUUGUAACACCCCAAGUUCAGAAGUGCAAGUUCAGGGUUCUUGGUGUAAUUAAGGAAGAUCGACUCGGCGAGUCGAGUCGUGAUUUGGCCAUGUGCUAAGUGACUGACUCGGCGAGUAGGCAGCUAGACUCGACGAGUCAGUGCUGGAGUGAGAAACCCUAAUUCAUGGGGUUUGCACCCUAUAUAAGGAACCUUAAGUCCCACCCCAGCCUCUUUAGGACUCCCUCUGAUGUCCAGAAACUUUCCACAUCGAUUUCAAACCCUAAAUUGAGAGUGAGAGGGAUUUAAGUGUGUUUUGGAGCUUGAAGAAGAAGGAUACUUGAAGCAAGAGUUGGUGGGAUCAUAGAGGAGCGAAGUGGAUCUGAUUUCCUUGCUUCUUGGCAUCAGCAUCAAGGUAAAAAGUUGUUGCCUUGACUUUGUUGUGUUUAGAUGGUUCAUGAAUGAAGUUUUAGGGCCAAUUUAUCAUAUAUGAGCCUCUUUUCGAGUAUUGGGUUUAGAUCUGUGGUUGCUACUACAGAUCUAGACUGGUCCUGACUCAUGAAUCUGGAAAGUGAUAGCUUUGGGGCUUGAUUGAGAGUGUCCUUGCCUUAAAACUUCACUUUAGCUUGAGUAGAGCUUGUUGAGCCUUGCAUGCACGUAAAGUUGGAAACUUUACAUGUAGAUCUUGCCCUAGGAGUCCAGAUCUAUGUAUUGAAAGCAAUAGUUUGGCCUGUGAUCAUCUGAAUGAAGGUAUUACGUAUGGACUCGGCGAGUCUGGGAGAUGACUUGACGAGUCGGACAAAAGAUUUGGAAUGAAUCGCGUAGUAACUCGGCGAGUCACAUGGGUGUACUCGACGAGUUGGAUGAAGAUAGGCAAGAACUCGACGAGUUGGAAGAACAACUCGACGAGUCUAUUGAAGAUUGCCUUGGGCUCAACGAGUCUGUUCUUGGACUCGGCGAGUCUGGUCGAGGAGUCCUAACCUUUUCUGGUUAAGUCGUGAAUCGGUGAGUCGAAGGAUGACUCGGUGAGUUGAGCAUGAAGGGACUCAGAGUUUGUUGGACUCGGCGAGUCUUGGGGCAACUCGACGAGUUGAGUCGUAAUAUGAGAGUUUUGAGUAUGGGAACUCGAAGAGUCAACGAGUUGACUCGGCGAGUAGGGUCAACCAGGAAGGUUGACCUUGACUGAGGACUUGGACUUUAACCAAGGGUUGACCAGUUGACUUCCGGGGGUAUUUUGGUAAUUAUUGGUAUUUAUUGAUUUGGUUUUUGGUAAUGAUCAGUGGCGGAGUUCGUGCUGGUGGUUGGAGCAGCGUGAUCUUAUUCUUCAGUCGGCAGUGACAGUUGAGUUAUCCUCACUAUACUGACAGGGUCUACGGCACCAAGGCCGACCCUCCAUCGGAUGGAAAUCCGGGUAUUGUUGUUAUGUUAUUGCUAUAUGGAGAUCCUUGUUGAUGGAAAGGCGGCCGACGAACGCUCGGUGGACUCUAUAUCCUCAAGGAAUCAAUUUGGAACCCGGAAAAUCAUAUUUAUUUAGGAAUGUAGCAUAUGGUUUUAGAGGUUGUCCUAAAUGGGAGGAUGUGGAUACGGUUAGUUAAGUUUAAUAAUUAUUAUUUUAUAUAUAUAAUAUUACUGAAAUUACUAGUAUUUAAUUUAUAUUUUUUUUGCAGGUUAUAUCUGUAAUAAAUGUUGUGCAUACCCAUUGGUUUUUGGUGGUUCUACAUUUAGAUACCUGGAAAGUAGAAAUUUUUGAUUCAGCACAAGUUGCGGGUUACUUCUCAACAUACAACACUAAUGGAGAAUUCAAAAGUUUUGGAGAUAGUAUUAUCUCAGAGUUGGAUGCCAUUGAUUACUGGAGCCAUUUCCCCCAUUGGACACAGAGACAAGCAAAGGUCGAGUUUUUUGAUGUUUNGACACAGAGACAAAGCAAAGGUCGAGUUUGUUGAUGUUGUAGACGCCCCACAACAAGAAUAUAGUCUUGAAAGAGGGGAUUGUGGAGUAUUUGUAUGCAUGUUUAUGGAAAUGAUUGUUUCUGGGGGUACCAGUGGCGAUUUCAAGGACAUGUAGAGAAGCUGCAUUUCUCUAUAGAAAUAAGAUGGCAAAUGUUAUUUGGGAUACUAUAUAAGUUGAUAUUAGGAACUUUGUAUAUAUAUUAAUAUUAAAUACUUGUUUCUAGUAUGUAAUCGUGUCACUUCUGGUAGUAUGUAAUCUUGUAAUUAUCUUUUAUAUUUUUUAAACAUAAUUCACCAAAAAAUGUUACGAAACCAUACAUUCAAACAAAAUAAACAUUACAAAUAACAUGAAUACAUUACAAUAGAGUCGUCUACAUAAAAAUAAGGUUUCUUACGACUAACAAACAUUAGAUAAAACAUUGGAAAUAAAAUACUCAUCUACUUGAAAAAAACUUUAUCUUUUACCAGAUUCCAAACGUCCGUAUACUCGAAAUCAUGUCCAUCAAACUUGCAUAGGUAAUAUCCAUUCACAUCUUCAAGAAGUUCUUCAUUAUCUGCUUGAGAGCGUCGCAUUUUCUCAGGAUUGUAGCAUCGAUUGAACCAUGUGACCUUAAACUUUAAAUCCAUCCAUUUACUAACAAUAGCAGGUUUUAGUCGUUCGUGUCCUUGCCCGACUUGAUAGUUGAACAAAGCUAUGAGGCGGGACCAUUCAUCACCUACAAGGCAAUUCAGGGGAGCCAUCACUGGUAGACCCUCGUAAAUGGUAAUCCAACUUUGUAUUAGGACCAACAACUCUGUUGGCGUCCAUGGAGAUGUACAAUUUGUUGGAGAGGCUGCAUUAGAUGGAUUUGUUGCAUUCGAAGAACUUGGUACAUUGGACGCCAUUUCUUAAUUGAUCUACUAUCAACUAAAGAAUUGAAUUUCGUAUAGACACUACGUUUAAUAUAUGUACAAACAUAUGUUAUACAAAGAUAUGUCAGUAACGCGGACUGACGAGCCAGUAACGCGGACUUACGAGCCAGUAACGUGGACUGACAACGAUUAAUAUAUAUAAAUAGUUUCUUAAUGCGGACUGACGAGUCAGUAACGCGGACUUACGAGUCAGUAACGCGGACUGACAACGAUUAACAUAUAUAAAAAGUUUCUUAACGCGGACUAACGAGUCAGUAACGCGGUCUUACGAGUCAGUAACACGGACUGAAAACGAUUAAUAUAUAUCAAAAGUUUCUUAACGCGGACUGAUGAGUCAGUAACACGGACUAACAAUUACUAGACAAAACAGUUUUGCGGACUGACAAGACAGAAACACGGAUUGACAAGUCAGUAACGCGGAGUGAUCAUUGGCUUUGCGGACUCACAAGUCAGUAACGCGGACUGACAACGAAGUAACACGGACUAACAACCCCGUAACGCGGAUUGAGAACGCAGUAACGCGGACUAACAAGUCUAUAUAAAACGACAAACAACAAUGUAUCACUUCAUCUAAGGUAUUUUAGUUCAUGUGCUUUGUAUGUUUUACAANUUCAUGUGCUUGUAUGUUUUACAAUGGGUUCAAACCAAUGGACCGCUAACGAGUAUUUCCUUCUAGCUCGUGCAUAUAUUAAUGUCAAAGAGAACACCAGUUUGGAGGAUAUAAUGUUUUUCUCCCAACUAACGAAUACCUUCAACACUGACGCUGAAACCACCAUACAAAACCAUCGCAACACGCUUGAUAUAGCUACAAAAUGGUAUGAAUUGAAAACGGAAGUUGUGUUAUUAAACGAUCUUUAUAAUAAGAUUGAAGAUGAUCAUGUCAAUGAUACUGAGGAAGAGAUCUUGGAGGUGUCUAAAGAAGAAUACAAAUCCAUUAGCAACGGACAGAGUUUCGAGUUUGAAGCCCCUUGGAAUCUUUUGAAAAAUGUACCGUUUUUUUAAGUAGAACUGCAUUUUGUAUUGUUCUUGUAUUUCUUUAUUUAAAUGUAAUAUGGUAUUUAUCCUUUAUUUUAAAAAAAAAUAUUUGACCAACAAAUGUUACAAAACCAUACAUUCAAAAAACAUUAUCUGACAAACAGCUUACGCGGACUGACAAAUAAGCUACGCGUAAUGACAACACAUUUACGCGGACUGACAAGUAAGUUCUGCGGAAUAAUGUAUACUAAUUCCUUAUAAAUUUUGACAACCAUGACGAAAAUUUACAAGGUGUCGAAAGUUGUGAAAAUGAGUUCAGUCAAUCAGGUAUUAAGGAAAAGUUUCUCCAGCCUACCGACUUUUUUCCAUAAGCUGCAAAGAAGCAAUCCUACCACCUUCACGUACAUUACGAAGGAUCGGUACAAUCGUUUCCAAAUUUGUUUCGUGGCAUUGGGAUGCGUGGUAUGUAAUCCCUUAUAGUAAAUAAAUAUUUAGUUAUUUCAAGUUGGUAUAUGCCUAAUAUUCUUAUGUUGACUUACAGAUUCGUACAUUUCUCACGUCUAUGAUAUCAAUCAUAUUCGUUGGUCAAGUACCUCUAAUUGGGGCAUAUGUAACAUCCAUGUACAUUGCUUUUGCUUUAGAUGGAAAUCAUGAACCCCUUCUCAUAGUGUUUGCCUUGGGAACCAUAAAUUGUGACAAUUCAUGGUUAUGGUUCAUAAGGAGGCUUAAAGACUGUUUAGGUGACAAUACAUAAUUUGGUUUCAUAAGCCAUAUGUCUGAUUCUAUGGACUUUGCAGUCCACAGAGUCUACCCUGAUUCAUAUCAUGGCUAUUGUUGUAAAAAUAUAGCCAAGAAAAUACGCGCUUCCAUCGGAACCAAUACAGUCGUAGAACAGUGGUUCUGUAAGACGUGUAAAGCAUAUAAUUUAUCUCAAUUUUAUGCAUGUUUGAACAAUUUAAAAAAUGAGGUAAAUGGGAAUGAUCUUCAUUGGCUUGACAAUAUUCCCAUUGCAAAAUGGGUACGGGCUUGUUUUCCAAGAGUAAGUUUCAAUGUUAAAUUCAUUGACAUUCCCGAUGUUUUCAAUUGGUUUAAAACAAACACGCAUGAGUUUCCAAUAACAACAAUCAUUGAAAUGGUUCAUGACUCGAUGUAAGAAGUUUAUCUUCGACGUGCUGUUUUUGGAGGUAAUUAUAAGUUAUGACAUCAUUAAAACGGUGAAUUGAUAUGUUUAUUAUACGUUAUGACCUUAUAAUUUUUUUUAUUGAUUCAGUUGAUUUCACAGGGGAUAUCCAUAAUCUUCUAACCCCUUAUGCACUUAAGGUGAUUCAUAAAAGAUUUAUCCACUCGGAUGGUUGUAGGAUUACGCAUAUUGUUGGCGAUAGAUAUGAAGUGACUAAGUAUUCAACAACCGAAUAUGUACAACUAGACCGUGGUAUUUGUAGUUGCGGUAAAUGGCAAAAAUGCGGUAUACCUUGUGAGCAUGCUAUAGCUUCACUACACAGACUCGAAAUUGCAGAAAUCCAUCAAAUGGUAAAUUUAAAGUUAAGUACAGCGGUGUAUCGAAAUGCUUAUCAAACUGAGACGGUCUAUCCUAUUCCAACCCUUAGGCAUUGGGAAAAACCAGUCGAAAGUGUUGUGGUCUUACCUCCACGCCAAUUCAAUUGAACUUUAUUGUAUGGAUCACAACGAAUAUUAGUUUUUAUUCAGUUCUAUGUUAACCGUACUUGUAAUGGUUUGUUGGCAUUCUUUACUUUUUAAUAAAAAAAAUGUUUACCUUUAAAUAAAUAAUUGUAUUUUCAUAAUUGUAAUAUGUAUGCAUGACAACGACUAGACAAAAAAACUAUGCGAACUGACAAACGCAGUAACGCGGACUGACAAAAACCUCUACGGACUAACAACAGCUCUCUGCAGAGUGGAAGGGACUAUAUAUAGUCAUGGAUGGUCGUCGGAUUUUUCGUAUAGAGUUAUAAUUUUUUAAAUUUAAAAUGACUUCAUCUUCAUCUUUGUAUAUUUGCUCGUGCAACGAAGUUGAUUGUUUCUAUUGUGAUCCGAUCGACCCUUUUCUUGCACCAUCACCAAAUUUAAGAGAGUCAUAUAUGUCGGAGGAUACUUUGCAACAACUACAAUGGGCUGAAGAACAACAAAAAAAAAGAUAAAGACUCGUCUCGGGCUCUCACUGAACGACGUGACCUCAUUGCGGCGGAGUGCAAAGAUGUUGAGGAAAGGAUGACGAUUACAAAAAAAAAUCAAAAAUCAUGGGGAAUGGAAAAAAAAACNCUAAGAAGAAUCUCAAACUGUCUGAAAAAUGGCUUGCUGACAAGGAUGCAGAAAUGAUAGAACUUGGUAGGCAAAAGGACCGUAUGGAAGAUAAAAUAAGAAUAAGGGACGACUACAUAACAAUGGAGAAAGAAAAGUAUCCUUUGCAAUUCCCUUAAGUUAAUUACCGUUGUUGUACGUUUACUAUAUGUUUCUAGUUUGUUGAAUGUAUUAACUUCGAGUAUUAGUUAUUAUUCUACUAGUAAUUAUGCAGUAAUAUAAUCAUAAUAUUACCCAUCAUCUUUAAAAUAAACACACCAGCUCAAAGUAGACAAAUUAAUGUCCUCUAAAACAAAACAUAAUUAAUUAUAAAUACAACAUCAAUCAUUCAAAUCAAACGUUGAACAAUAGUCUUCUCUCUACGUCCCACUCGUCCAACGCGUGUCUUGUGUCCCGUGCGUCUCUAGCGUCUCCUGAGUCCCUUCUGUCCCUUUCCCUUUUCCUUUUGUGUUACUACUUGAUGUCGUAUUAGUUUUUCUAGCCUUUUUUUGUUUCUUUGGGACCAAUGUCGGACAAGUCGCUGCAUUAUGUGUUGUACUAUCACAUCUACUACACCUUCUUAUUAUAGGUUCCUCACCUUGUGACGGAAUACGAUUUCUGUUUCUCGGUCUACCAGCUUGACGUGUAUCCAUUAUCGGGGGUUUCACAACCAUCAUGUUAGCAGGAAUCUCCCAAUCACACGGUUCUGGAAGGGGGUAAACCGGCUCCUCAUACGUACUUCGGUAUGUUUCCAUUUUGUAAGCAUCUAUAGCCAGAUGUCCGAAGUUAGUUUUUUUCAAGUGCUUCAAGACCAUUAUCACAUGACCACAAGGCAACCCAGUUCCUUCCCAAUAUUUGCAUGUACAAGUCUCUUGCCUCAGAUCAACUAUGCCACCAUGUUUGAAAUCAUGAACUUCAUAAAGUGCAUCUGAAACACCAGAAAUGGACCAUCCUGUCGUACGCUCUUCAUUUUUACUAACUACUUUUUCAGCCCACUCGGUUAGCACUGUUGAACGUUUCCCUAUAAAGAAGAUAUAUAUAAUUAACUAAUUAUUCGACCUAAUUAAAGACAAAAUAAAAUUCAUACCUCCUUCGAUGCGACGCUUGUAACACCAUUCCUGUGAAAGACGUCGGAAGAACUCAAGAAGGGGUAUUAUAGGCAUCUUCCUUGCAUCUACAGAUAAAGCAUUCAUGAACUCUGCACUGUUCGAGGUCAUGUAAUCGUAACGUUUCGAUGGCGAAUAUGCUCUAGUCCAUUUAACACAGGGAAUUUCACUUAGAUACGCUGCUACUUGCGGCCUAGUAGAACUAAAUAUAUACCACAAUUCUUCAAAAACAUUUCUUUUGUAAGCUUUCACAAGCCUCCAAAACAACCCUUUUGUUUUAUCAUUUUUCCCAAACUUGUGUACUAUGUUUCCUAGUGUGACAUCCCCAAAAUCUUGGCCAGAAAAGACCGAUUUCAUUGAUGCUUUUUAAAAUAAUUUCAGAGUAAAUCCUUUUGAUUUUAAAAGAGAUGCGGAAUUUGUUCCCAAAAACAAAACAUGAUAAAAUAGAUCUUUUAUCAAAACAUUUCAUAAAGAAAUAUAAUUUCAUUUCAUAAUCAAAACCGGGAUGUCAUGUUCCGAUACAGACCAUAAAGCAUAAACGAUAACAUUACAAGUCAUUCAACAAAUAUUAUACAUAUGCAGACUUGUAAACAAAACAACUUGAUGAUUCAUCCAUCUUAUGCCCUUACGCCACUUCCUGUAAUACAAGUAAACUGAGUGGGUCAGGCUUGGGAGCCUGGUGAGCAUAUAGGGUUUUCAACCCACAAUAAAUAAUUAUAUUUAAUUCAACAAUCAACAAUAACCCGAUUACCCAUUCCCGUUUUCCUUACUUUACGUCCCUAAAACAACAUCUAUUAUAAGGGACCUAAUCUAGGAGUUUCAUCGGGACAAACAUUACUGCAAAGGGGCUUCCUUAGCAAUAAAUAUCCUAAAGGCAACCAUGAGGGGGAUAUAGUUCACCGGUGAACACGUCGUUCACAAGACCUACAGGUUAUGAGCCUACUAGUGUUCCACAGGACUGUCUAGAAUAGUCCGUGGUCGUCAUCCAUACUCUGCUGAAUGACUAGAAUAACACCAACAACAUCGAGGCCUCUCAUCUGUUUAUUACACACCAACUAUCUACCCAUGUUCUACCCAACAUAUUAGUAGAUAAAAAUAUACAUUUGUAUACAUAGUUUAAAACCUGUAUAGCAUGCUCAAUCAAUACAUUUUUCCACAUAACAGAUGAGGUACACACACAUAACACGUAUUUCAUAGAGAAUAAAUCAGAUCUAUGAGAUAGAAGAAAGUGAAUAUACAUCCACACAUAUAGUCAACAAAGUAUACACGUAACACGUAUUUCGUAUAAAAUACUUCAUAAUAAUGUGUUAGAAGAAAAUGACUACACACUCACUUGAUCAGAAGAUGAUCGGGCAACACUACGACUUGUAGAAGUAGUGUUUCUCCGUAGAUCUGGAAGAUCUUCACAUAAACCGGGCUCCUCGCGGGCAGGUCUUCGGCUCUGAAAUCUCACUUCUCGGGAUUCUCGGGACUUCGGAUCUUGCUUCGGGGCUCGCGAAUAAUAUUGGGGCUUCGGGGUAUGAUUGGCAAGCAAAUCGAGGCAAAAACUAGAGAGAAGAAAGAGUUUGAACUAGAGAAAAUGGUUGAUCUCGCAUUCUAUUUAUAGGCUGCUGGGUCUAGGAUUAUGCCGGGCGUAAUUUCCAGGUACGCUGGGCGUACUAAGUACACUGGGCGUAAUUAGGUUACGUUGGGCGUACUUUGACGUCACUGCAUGCGUCAAUUGGUGGCACUCGAGUAUUGGUCAGACAAGUUGCACCCCUCUGAGUACGCUGGGCGUACUCAAAUUACGCUGGGCGUAAUUUGACUCGUCAAACUUCUAAAUUGCGUAACUUUGGCAUACGAGCUCCGUUUUCGACGUUCUUUAUAUCAACGCGUAGGUUAGACCAUACUCUACAACUUUCAUUUAGACUCAAUUUUUACUUUUAUUUUUAUUAUUUAUUUUUAGUAGGCCGGGACAGGAAAACUUCGUUAUAAAUUCAUAACUUCUUCGUUCGACGUCCGUUCUCGCCUAACUUUUCAUCGUUUCACUACUAACAACGAGAUAUUCGAUUCUCGUUUAGAUUGUUCUGGCUAAAAACCGCUCGAUCUCAAAUCGAGUAUUCGGGCUGCAUACUGCCAAGUCGAAACUUCAGANGAAAAUCAUAUUCCUCAUACGAAGUCAGAUUUGGGCGUUCUAUAUAUAUUUAGAAACCUAGUUUCAACUACUACAACAUUAUCCAAAGAUAUCGAGUUUAUUUUACACUUCAUUUUGACGCUAAUUUUUAUUCUUAAUUCAAUUAAAUUAUAAUAAUUAAGAAAACACACACAUAAUUCACAUAAUUCACAAAUAAUACAUUUUUAUUAUUUCAGAUUGGGUUACAAAGGUUAACCUAGACUAUUACAUUGCUAAAAAUGGCAAGCCCAUAAUCACGGGCGUUACAAUUUUCUCCACCUUAGAAUGAUUCCGUCCCUGGAAUCACACAUCAACAAAUAAAUGCGGAUAGCGACCCAUCAUGUCACUCUCCGUCUCCCAGGUGAGAUACGACCCAUUCGUGUGUUUCCAACGGACAAGCACUAACUCAACCAUCUUACGUCGCAAUUUCUUAGUCUUCCGGUCAACGAUUGCUUCUGGUUCUUCAAUCAAUCUUUUGUUUUCAUCAAUUAUUAACUCUGAAAGUGGAAUCAUGUCGGGAACUUCUCCCGUGAACUUCCUCAAGUAACACAUAUGAAAAGUGUUAUGAAUUCCAUUCAGUUCUUCGAGUAGUUCGAGCUUGUAAGCUUGGUUCCUAAUUCUCUGAAGAACUUUAAACGGUCCAAUAAACCUUGGACUUAACUUUCCCCUUUUACCACAUCUUAUAAGUCCCUUCCACGGCGAGACUUUAAGCAAAACCGAAUCUCCAACUUCAAAAGUCAUCGGUCUUCGCUUUUUGUCAGCAUAGCUCUUUUGACGGUCGUGAGCUGCUAACAUUCUUUCCCUAAUUAUUUUCAACUUUUCAGCCGUUUGAUGGACUAUCUCUGGUCCCAUAAACUGCUUUUCCCCAGCCUCAAGCCAACAAGACUGCGUACGACACUUCUGUCCGUACAAAGCUUGAUAAGGUGCCAUCUUAAUGCUCGAGUGGAAACUAUUAUUAUAGGAAAAUUCUACCAAUGGUAAAUGUUCAUCCCAAUUACCUAGGAAUUCCAAGGUACAUGCUCUCAGCAUAUCUUCAAGUGUUUGUAUCGUUCUUUCACUCUGACCAUCAGUCUGCGGAUGGUAAGCUGUGCUUAAACACAACUUGGUACCCAAUUCCUCUUGUAGACUUUUCCAAAACCGUGAGGUGAAACGACUAUCACGAUCCGACACAAUUGUUAACGGAACACCGUGAAGCCUCACAAUUUCCUUCACGUAAGAAUUCGCAAGCUUUUCCAUAGACCAUUUCUCAUUGGCUGCUAUGAAAUGCGCACUCUUAGUGAAUCGAUCAACGACCACCCAAAUCAUGUCGUGACCAUUCUUUGUUCUGGGCAGUUUAGUGACAAAAUCCAUAGCAAUGUCUUCCCACUUACCCAUAGGCACAGGCAAUGGUUCUAAACUCCCGUACGGUUUCUGAUGUUGUGUCUUGACUCUCGCACAAGUCACACACUCGGCCACAUACUUUGCAACAUCAAGCUUCAUCGUCGGCCACCAGUAGUAGGGUUUCAGGUCCCUAUACAUUUUAGUGCUACCCGGAUGAAUCGAGUACAUGGUCUUGUGAGCUUCUUCCAUCAGAAGAUCUCUGACUCCUCCUGUCUUAGGUAUCCAAAUCCGAUCUUGGAACACCUUCAGUCCAUGACUGUUUACACCGAACACCAACGUUUUGCCCAAACGUUCCUCCUUUCUGUCAUUCUUCUCAGAAGCUUCGCUCUGAGCUUUCUUUAUACUUUCCAAAAUAGUUGAGACAACUUCAAUUCUCAACGCUCUUGGCCUUUUCCUUUCGGGAUUGACUUUCCGACUGAGAGCAUCAGCAACAACAUUAGCUUUACCGGGGUGGUAAAGUAUCUCGCAGUCAUAGUCUUUAAGUAAUUCUAGCCAGCGUCGUUGCCUCAUAUUCAAUUCUUUCUGAUUAAAGAGGUAUUGGAGACUCUUAUGAUCAGUGAAAAGUUUGCACUUCGUGCCAUAGAGGUAAUGCCUCCAUAUUUUCAGAGCGAAAACUACCGCUGCCAACUCCAAAUCAUGAGUCGGGUAAUUCUUUUCAUGCUCUUUCAGCUGUCGAGACGCAUAUGCUAUCACCUUUUCUCUUUGGGUCAAAACACAACCCAAUCCAACACCAGACGCAUCGCUAUAAACAGCGAAGUCUUCAACUCCAUCGGGUAGAGAAAGUAUCGGUGCCUCGCAUAGCUUCUUCUUUAACUUCUCGAAUGCUUCUUUAUGCUUCUCACUCCAAGCAUAAGUAGCUCCUUUGUGGGUCAAAGCUGUCAAUGGAGUAGCAAUCGAAGAAAAGCCUUGGAUAAACCUUCAAUAAUAUCCGGCUAAUCCCAAAAAGCUUCGAAUCUCCGUGGGACUUUUCGGUUGUUCCCACUUCAUCACAGCUUCGAUCUUCGCUGGAUCAACCAUUAUCCCUUCUUGGUUGACCACGUGACCCAAGAAUUGUACUUCUCGAAUCCAAAAAUCACAUCUGGAGAACUUUGCAUACAACUUAUCCUUCUUUAAAACUUCUAACACUUCUCGCAAGUGUCUGCCAUGCUCCUCCUGGCUUUUCGAGUAAAUCAGAAUGUCGUCUAUGAACACUAUNGAACGGAUUACAAACCCUGUUCAUUAAAUCCAUGAAUGCUGCUGGAGCAUUGGUUAGUCCAAACGACAUAACCAAAAACUCGUAGUGCCCAUAUCAUGUUCUGAAUGCAGUCUUCUCUAUAUCCUGCUCUCUUACUUUUAGCUGAUGAUAUCCUGACCUCAGGUCGAUUUUUGAAAAAUAACUUGAACCUUGUAGUUGAUCGAACAGGUCAUCAAUCCUCGGCAACGAAUAUCUAUUCUUUAUUGUUGCCUUGUUCAGUUCUCUGUAAUCGAUGCACAUCCUCAUACUUCCAUAUUUCUUUUGACGAAUAACAUCGGAGCUCCCCAGGCCGAUGAACUAGGUCUUAUGAAACCUUUGUCCAAUAACUCCUGAAGUUGCAUCAUCCGCUCCUUCAUCUCCAUCGGUGCUAGUCGGUAAGGUGCUUUUGCUAUAGGCGUCGUUCCCGGCAACAAGUCGAUACGAAAUUCUACUUGUCGAUCAGAAGGUAAUCCAGGAAGAUCUUCGGGAAAUACUUCCGGAUAAUCACAUACGACAGGAAUAUUCUGCAUCACCUUUUUUUCCUUCUUAGCAUCGAUCACGAAUGCUAAAUAUGAUGUACACCCCUUGGUCAAACAUUUUCUGGCUUUCAUUAGAGAAAUGAUUCCAGAAUUUACUCUGCGUUUAUCUCCAUACACCAUAAACGAUUCCUUCCCAGGCGGGUUCACUUUCACUAUUUUCUUCUUGCAUAAAAUUUCGGCAUCAUUGGCGCUAAGCCAAUCCAUUCCCAAAAUGAUGUCGAAACUGUUAAGUUCGAUAUAAAGGAGUAGUUUUCUACCAAAUUCAUGCGAUAUAAAGGAGUAGUUGGCUCCAGAAUCAAAUAAAAUUUGGGCAGACGAUUUGUUUACGAGAAAGGUACCUGAACGACAUCAGCUUCAUCUUUAGCAGCUUCCAGUGUCAUCUGGAAUGCUCUCGCCUUCGGCUUUGGCGAAAUGUUGGGUUUUGUUGCCUCCUUCUUCUUCGGACAAUCUCUUGAUAUGUGCCCUUCCUCACCACAACCAUAACAAACAUUCUUGGUGAGGGUGCAGUCGUUGGCAUAAUGCCCUGGCUUUCCACAUUUCAAGCAUGUGGCUUCCCCGCCGCACUUCCCAUGAUGCUUCUUCUUGCAUUUGUCGCACCAUUUCGCUUCGCCUCCUCCACCCCCUCUCGAACUAGACUUCGAGAAUUUACCCUUUUUGCUGGACCCUGAAGAUCCCUCGAACUUCCUCUUUUCACCAACCUCUGACCUUUCCAGACCUUUUUCCCUGAUCUGGGUCUCAACAUUUCUAGCAGCCCAGAUGGCGGCUUUCAAUGUGGUUGCUUGCUUAACCAUUAGACCAUAGUCCGCUGGUAGUCCAAGGGCAAACUUGUUGACCUUAGAGAGUUCUGUAGGCACCAAAUAUGGGAUAAACUUCAUCUUUUCUGUGAAACUUGCAGCGUAUUCAGUAACGCUCAAUUUCCCUUUCUUCAAAUUCUGAAACUCAUUACUGAUUUCCAGAAGGUCCUGCUCGGAGCAGUAUUGCAGUUUUAGUUGUUCCACAAAGUCUUCCCAAGACAUUUUGCUUGCUUCUCCCUUGGGCAUAGAGUCAGCUAACAGCUUCCACCAACUCAACACGCCAGAUUUUAGCAGAGGGAUCGCAAGAGCGGUCUUCUGCCUGUUGCUGCAUUCGCAACUUUCAAACAUAGUCUCCAUUUCGGAGAUCCAGUCCAUAACUUGCACCGGCGUCGGGCUUCCGGAUAGACAUGGUGGUUUGGAUGCCAUGAAAUCCUUAUACUUGCACCCACGACCAUCAUUUCCUCCAUACUGGUUAUUGCGUCUAACCACUGGUUGUUCGUCUUGACCAAUGAUCCCACUAAAGUUUUCUCCUUCAGACUGCCCUCCAUUCUCCUCGGGCUCUUCCGCUUGAAUUGACGGUUCUUCACGAUUCUGCCUAAGCAGGCGUCUUGUUUCUUCCAUCUGACGAUCCAACAUCAUUUGAAUCAUCAUUUGUACACCAGCCAUUGUUAUCGGCUCAGGUGCAUCAGCUACGACAGGUACUUGUUGAAUUACAGGCGGUUGAUUCCUGUUUUCAUCAGCAUUUCCAACUCCGCUUCUUGUUCUCACCAUUUUUGAUCUACACACCGAAUAAUUUCACCUUAUUACUCCAAACGAUUACAUGCUAGUUCUAAUAUCGUAUACAUACGCUUAGAAUCCUAAACACAUAAACCUUCAGAUCCGGUUGGCAACAAACCGUAGAUCCGAACAAAUAAUAUCAUAUAUGGCAACAUAUAACAUUUAGCACAUAAAAGCAUUUUAGGCAACUUUCCUAAAAUAAACUAGUGCUCGUGUCUAAAAUUUAUCAGACACACAUCUCACAAUCUCCACUUAGCAUACUAAGUUUAAGUCUAGAAAUCCUACAAAUUCCUAGUUCGCUUAAACUAAUGCUCUGAUACCAACUGUGACAUCCCCAAAAUCUCGGCCAGAAAAGACCGAUUUCAUUUAUGCUUUUUAAAACAAUUUCAGAGUAAAUCCUUUUGAUUUUAAAAGAGAUGCGGAAUUUGUUCCCAAAAACAAAACAUGAUAAAAUAGAUCUUUUAUCAAAACAUUUCAUAAAGAAAUAUAAUUUCAUUUCAUAAUCAAAAAUCGGGAUGUCAUGUUCCGAUACAGACCAUAAAGCAUAAACGAUAACAUUACAAGUCAUUCAACAAAUAUAUACAUAUACAGACUUGUAAACAAAACAACUUGAUGAUUCAUCCAUCUUAUGCCCUUGCGCCACUUCCUGUAAUACAAAUAAACUGAGUGGGUCAGGCUUGGGAGCCUGGUGAGCAUAUAGGGUUUUCAACCCACAAUAAAUAAUUAUAUUUAAUUCAACAAUCAACAAUAACCCGAUUACCCAUUCCCGUUUUCCUCACUUUACGUCCCUAAAACAACAUCUAUUAUAAGGGACCUAAUCUAGGAUUUUCAUCAGGACGGACAUUACUGCAAAGGGGCUUCCUUAGCAAUAAAUAUCCUAAAGGCAACCAUGAGGGGGAUAGAGUACACCGGUGAACACGUCGUUCACAACACCUACAGGUUAUGAGCCUGCUAGUGUUCCAUAGGACUGUCUAAAAUAGUCCGUGGUCGUCAUCCAUACUCUGUUGAAUGACUAGAAUAACACCAACAUCAAGGCCUCUCAUCUGUUUAUUACACACCAAUUAUCUACCCAUGUUCUACCCAACAUAUUAGUAGAUAAAAAUAUACAUUUUUAUACAAAGUUUAAAACCUGUAUAGCAUGCUCGAUCAAUACAUUUUUCCACAUAACAGAUGAGGUACACACACAUAACACGUAUUUCAUAGAGAAUAAAUCAGAUCUAUGAGAUAGAAGAAAGUGAAUAUACAUCCACACAUAUAGUCAACAAAGUAUACACGUAACACGUAUUUCGUAUAAAAUACUUCAUAAUAAUGUGUUAGAAGAAAAUGACUACACACUCACUUGAUCAGAAGAUGAUCGGGCAACACUACGACUUGUAGAAGUAGUGUUUCUCCGUAGAUCUGGAAGAUCUUCACAUAAACCGGGCUCCUCGCGGGCAGGUCUUCGGCUCUGAAAUCUCACUUCUCGGGAUUCUCGGGACUUCGGAUCUUGCUUCGGGGCUCGGGAAUAAUACCGGGACUUCGGGGUAUGAUUGGCACGCAAAUCGAGGCAAAAACUAGAGAGAAGAAAGAGUUUGAACAAGAGAAAAUGGUUGAUCUCGCAUUCUAUUUAUUGGCUGUUGGGUCUGGGAUUACGUUGGGCGUAAUUUCCAGGUACGCUGGGCGUACUCAAUACACUGGGCGUAAUUAGGUUACGUUGGGCGUACUUUGACGUCACUGCGUGCGUCAAUUGGUGGCACUCGAGUAUUGGUCAGACAAGUUGCACCCCUCUGAGUAUGCUGGACGUAAUUUGACUCAUCAAACUUCUAAAUUGCGUAACUUUCGCAUACGAGCUCUGUUUUCGACGUUCUUUAUAUCCACGCGUAGGUCAGACCAUACUCUACAACUUUCAUUUAGACUCCAUCGGCUAAUUUUGACUUUUAUUUUUAUUAUUUAUUUUUAGUAGGCCGGGACAGGAAAACUUCGUUAUAAAUUCAUAACUUCUUUGUCCGACGUCCGUUCUCGCCUAACUUUUUAUCGUUUCGCUACUAACAACGAGAUCUUCAAUUCUCAUUUAGAUUGUUUCGGCUAAAAACCGCUCGAUCUCAAAUCGAGUAUUUGGGCUGCAUACUGCCAAGUCGAAACUUCAGAAAAUCAUAACUUCCUCAUACGAAGUCAAAUUUGGGCGUUCUAUAUAUAUUCUGAAACCUCGUUUCAACUACUACAACAUUAUCCAAAGAUAUCGAGUUUAUUUUACACUUCAUUUUGAUGCUUAUUUUUAUUCUUAAUUCAAUUAAAUUAUAAUUAAGAAAACACACACAUAAUUCACAUAAUUCACAAAUAAUACAUUUUUAUUAUUUCAGAUUGCAUUACAAAGGUUAACCUAGACUAUUACAUUGCUAAAAAUGGCAAGCCCAGAAACACAGACGUUACACCUAGUAUAUGAAAAGCACACAAGCCAUGAUGAGCAUGUGGAAAAACAUUUUCAAUACUAACGCGAAUUGUAUCGGCCCUAUCAGUUACAAAAGUCAAUUCUUGACAAUCACUAACACAUUCAUACAACUUUUCAAGAAACCAUGUCCACGUAAGACCACUUUUUUUUUUCAUAUUCCGUGCGUAAGGGGCAGUAUCUGGUUGUUCCCAUCCAUAGCUACUCCAUGCAAUAUGGUUCCCUUAAAAGCACCCUUCAAAUGGGCACCAUCCAUAAUUAUAACUUUACGACAAAAACUUUUGAACGCUCGUAUCUGCAAUAUAUAAAAAUGGAACACAUAAACACUCUAUAAUUUGUUUACAAAAAUUAUAUAUUAAAUAACAACAAGUUUUUUGUAUUUACCGUGCUCCCAAUGGCAUAAAAACAACACUCGAAACAAUCUUCAGAAUCUGUUUGAAUAUACGCAACUGUACCGGGAUUAUGCCUCUUCAAAUUGUGAAAAUAAAUAGGAAGUUUGGCAAAACAUUCUUCAGAGGAUCCCAACAACAGUUUCAUAGCAUAUUGUUUUGCACGCCAAGCUUGUUUGUAAUCUACGUUGAUUUCCAGCAAAGCAUUCAAAUCCCUUGAUAUUUCAUUAGGCCUCCAAACCUUGGAACGAGUUUUUCCCAUAAUCUCAUGCAAUAUAGUACCCAUGACUUUUUUAUUAGCAUGCUUAUGAUUAGGGUGUAUCUGUAAUGACGAACAUGUGUACACGUUGUUGAAAGUCCUGAUUUCAAAUUCAUCAGUGAGAUCAAGGCGUUUUGCAUACAAACGCCAACUACAGUUCUCAAUUUCACAAUAUACCUCAUAACGAUUUUUGUUAGAAUGUUUGGUCUUAAACUGAAACUUUUCUCUUGUUGCUUUAAGAAUCAAUGCAAAAAUUAGUUGUUGUUUGUUGUCAUAUGUUUGACGAACAAACAUAUCAUCAUUUGGACCUAAACUGUGAAAUGGUCCGGGUUCAACAAUAGGAUCAGGACAAUCAGGUAUGGGAGACAUACCGUAAAAAAUGUCUGAAGCUUUUUUCCCGUAUGUGAACUCAUCUUCUGACCAUCCUUCAUUUGACUCUUCACUGUCUGAGAAAGUUUUGUUAGUCAAUCUUCUAAACCCAUAUAAAUUUUUUUCUUCAACCGUAUUCAGUGCCACCGUUUCUUCUUCUGGACAAUCUUCAACAUUAUCAGAUACAAUGUUAUCAACAUUGUAUGGUACAACUUUCUCAGCUGCUUCUGUCUGUUCGACCAAUCCCUGAAACACCUCUAAAUACAAAUGCACAAUCUCCUUCGUUUCAGAAAUUACAUUUCUGAGUUGAUUAACAUCUGCUUCAUCUAAAAUAUUCAUCACAUACCCAUGAACCGGGUGUUGAAAUGACAAUGAUAUAUUACUAUUGAACACCUUAGCCUUACUUUUGACCAAAUCAAACAAUAUUCGAAAAUCAAAAUUAGGCGGAGGCAGUAAACCCAAGUUGUUUAACUUUGGUCUAACGUAGGUGUUAAUCGCAUUACUUAUCUGCAAAAAACCUCCAGUACAUAAAAUAACAAAACUCAUAUUUGGUUUUGAAAAUCAAAUGAAAACGAACUGAUCUAUCGACCAAAAUAAAACAAACAUAUGAAAAAGAAACUUUUGUAUCAAAAAACUCUUCAAAAUCCGCUCCAACCACCCAUUCCACGGAGGCAUUACUCUCUCCGCAGAGACCCAUUCCGCGGAGCAUGAUUAAAAAGGCUAACAACCUAUUGUUCGACCACUUCGCAGAGAUGACUUCAUUCCGCGGAGGUCCGCGGAGGGUCCUCCGCGGAAUGCAUGUCUAUAGCUGGAAUUUUUUUUUUGUGUCUAAAUUUUUAAAUUUCCCCCUUUUUUCGUCUAUAGCCUAUAUUUUCUCUAAAUGAUUUACAUAUUGAAAGUUCAGAAACAAGUUAAAACUUAAACCCUAAAAGAGCGUACAAAUUUCAAUCGUCAACAUACCCCACCACAAAGGCACAAAUAAUCAAAGAAACAAAUGUAGAUGUAGAGGCCUUUUUCACCACAAUCACCCUUCAUCGGCCAUUUCGAAGGCCACGUGAAAUGUCACUAACGUGGCCCUAUAAAUAUCCACUACUUUGUCUUUAACCUUUCCCCCCUCUCAUAUAAAACCCUCCAUCCUCCUCCUUUACCACCAUCACCAACUACCUUCUCUCCUCCAUCAAAAGUAUCCCCAUCUUUUCCGACAUGGCUGCUUCUUCAAUCUUCAUGGCAACUCCCAUCACACUCCUCAAGAAAACUCCCACCUUCUCCGUCAAAUGUAUGUCACAAACACCUCAAAGCGGUGAACCGGGGGUUUCAAAACCAGCAACCACCCCAACACCACCACAGAUCAACAUUCCUCCUCCUCCGCCACCUGCUCCAAAGGUCAGCACGAAGUUCUCUGACGUGUUGGCGUUUAGUGGAC